UUAUAACUCUUUGAAAACUGAAUAUAUGUGAAAAGGAGCAAAAUAUGGGAAUGAUAUAAGCUUAUUUUGUCGAGCUGUCUAAUUCUGCAUACCUCAGAGUUACUGGAUUCCAGACCACGCCAAUAAAUCGAAUAUCACAAUAAAAUAGAGACGGCAGCUGAGGACAGAGGGGAUAUAUGGGCAUAUUCAAGUUAUUAGCAAUGUAUUAGAG